rnacentral:rRNA from 1 species
GUUAUAUGGUCAAGUGAAUAAGCGCAUAUGGUGAAUGCCUUGGCAGUAGGAGGCGAUGAAGGACGUGGUAGCCUGCGAUAAGCCUCGGGGAGUUGNNGCAAACAAACGUCGAUCCGAGGAUUUCCGAAUGGGAAAACCCAACGCACUAAACAUGCGUUACAACUUGCUGAAUUCAUAGGCAAGUGUGAGCUAANCCUAGGGAACUGAAACAUCUAAGUACCUAGAGGAAAAGAAAUCAAUUGAGAUUCCGCUAGUAGUGGCGAGCGAACGCGGAACAGUCCAGCUACCAAAUCUANUAUUUGUUUUAGUGGAAUGAUCUGGAAAGGUCAAUCGUAGAGGGUGAUAGUCCCGUACACGAAAGAACAAGUAUAGUGGGUAGCNNAAUGAGUAGGUCGGGACACGUGUAAUCCUGAUUGAAGAUGGGNGGACCAUCCUCCAAGACUAAAUACUCCCUACUGACCGAUAGUGAACCAGUACCGUGAGGGAAAGGCGAAAAGAACCCCGUANNGAGGGGAGUGAAAUAGAACCUGAAACCAUAUGCGUACAAGCAGUAGGAGCCCCGCUCCUAAAUAAUUCUUUAACGAUACUCAUAAGAGUUAUUUAUGAGCGGGGUGACUGCGUACCUUUUGUAUAAUGGGUCAGCGAGUUAUUUGUGGUGGCAAGCUUAACCGUAUAGGGUAGGCAUAGGAAACCGAGUCCGAAAUGGGCGUGGGACGAAAGUCCUGNNGAGUCGCUGCGAAUAGACCCGAAGCCGGGCGAGCUAUCCAUGACCAGGGUGAAGGUUAGGUAACACUGACUGGAGGCCCGAACCCACUACUGUUGAAAUAGUAGGGGAUGAGUUGUGGAUAGGAGUGAAAGGCUAAACAAGCUCGGAGAUAGCUGGUUCUCCUCGAAAGCUAUUUAGGUAGCGCCUCGUGUUAAUAACCCUUGGGGUAGAGCACUGUUUCGACUAGGGAGCCGUCUAGGCUUACCAAACCGAUGCAAACUCCGAAUACCAAGGAGUUCUAUCACGGGAGACACACGGCGGGUGAUAACGUCCGUCGUGAAAAGGGAAACAACCCAGACCGUCAGCUAAGGUCCCAAAAUCAUAGUUAAGUGGUAAACGAUGUGGGAAGGCACAAACAGCCAGGAGGUUGGCUUAGAAGCAGCCAUCCUUUAAAGAAAGCGUAAUAGCUCACUGGUCGAGUCGGCCUGCGCGGAAGAUUUAACGGGGCUAANNAACUAUGUACCGAAGCUGCGGGUGUACAUGCUUAUGCGUGUACGCGGUAGAGGAGCGUUCUGUAAGCCUGUGAAGGUCAAUCGUAAGGUUGGCUGGAGGUAUCAGAAGUGCGAAUGCUGACAUGAGUAACGAUAAUGCGGGUGAAAANCCCGCACGCCGAAAGUCCAAGGUUUCCUGCGCAACGGUAAUCGGCGCAGGGUGAGUCGGCCCCUAAGGUGAGGCAGAAAUGCGUAGCUGAUGGGAAACAGGUUAAUAUUCCUGUACUUGGUAACAUUGCGAUGGGAUGACGGAGAAGGCUAAGUUAACCACCCGUUGGUUGUGGUGGUUUAAGCGUGUAGGAUGAGUUCUUAGGAAAAUCCGGGAACUCUUAUUCUGAGACGUGAUGACGAUCUAGUAUUUCGGUACUAGAGAAGUAACCGAUGCCAUGCUUCCAGGAAAACUCUCUAAGCUUCAGAUGUUAUUGAACCGUACCCCAAACCGACACAGGUGGACUAGUUGAGAAUACUAAGGCGUUUGAGAUAACUCGGAUGAAGGAACUAGGCAAAAUGGCACCGUAACUUCGGGAGAAGGUGCGCCUCUUUUGGUGAAGAGAUUUACUCUCCUAGCCGUUAGAGGUUGAAACAAAUUGGUGGCUACGACUGUUUAUUAAAAACACAGCACUCUGCAAACUCGUAAGAGGAAGUAUAGGGUGUGACGCCUGCCCGGUGCCGGAAGGUUAAGUGAUGGGGUCAGCCGUAAGGCAAAGCUCUUGAUCGAAGCCCCGGUAAACGGCGGCCGUAACUAUAACGGUCCUAAGGUAGCGAAAUUCCUUGUCGGGUAAGUUCCGACCUGCACGAAUGGCGUAACGAUAGCCACACUGUCUCCAUCCGAGGCUCAGUGAAGUUGAAAUCGCUGUGAAGAUGCGGCGUACCCGCGGCAAGACGGAAAGACCCCGUGCACCUUUACUACAACUUUACAUUGAACUUUGAACUCUCCUGUGUAGGAUAGGUGGGAGGCUUUGAAGUCGGGACGCUAGUCUCGAUGGAGCCAACCUUGAAAUACCACCCUGGAGUGUUUGAGGUUCUAACCUUAACCCGUGAUCCGGGUUAGAGACAGUGUAUGGUGGGUAGUUUGACUGGGGCGGUCUCCUCCCAAAGAGUAACGGAGGAGCACGAAGGUACUCUCAGCGCGGUCGGAAAUCGCGCAAUGCGUGUAAAGGCANAAGAGUGCUUAACUGCGAGACUGACAAGUCGAGCAGGUACGAAAGUAGGUCUUAGUGAUCCGGUGGUUCUGUAUGGAAGGGCCAUCGCUCAACGGAUAAAAGGUACGCCGGGGAUAACAGGCUGAUACCGCCCAAGAGUUCAUAUCGACGGCGGUGUUUGGCACCUCGAUGUCGGCUCAUCACAUCCUGGGGCUGUAGCCGGUCCCAAGGGUAUGGCUGUUCGCCAUUUAAAGUGGUACGCGAGCUGGGUUUAGAACGUCGUGAGACAGUUCGGUCCCUAUCUGCCGUGGGCGUUAGAGAUUUGAGAGGAGUUGCUCCUAGUACGAGAGGACCGGAGUGAACGUACCUCUGGUGUUCCGGUUGUCAUGCCAAUGGCAUUGCCGGGUAGCUAUGUACGGACGGGAUAACCGCUGAAAGCAUCUAAGUGGGAAGCCCCCUCAAGAUUAGAUCUCUCUGGACCUGUAAGGUCCCUAAAGGUCUGUUGAAGACUACAACUUUGAUAGGCAGGGUGUGGAAGCACAGUAAUGUGUGAAGCUAACCUGUACUAAUUGACCGUGAGUCUUGGCCAUAUAACUUCAAA